UACGGAGGAUCCAAGCGUUAUCCGGAUUCAUUGGGUUUAAAGGGUGCGUAGGCGGAAUGAUAAGUCAGUGGUGAAAUCUCGGAGCUUAACUCCGAAACUGCCAUUGAUACUGUCAAUCUUGAGUACAUUUGAUGUGGGCGGAAUGUGUCAUGUAGCGGUGAAAUGCUUAGAUAUGACACAGAACACCGAUUGCGAAGGCAGCUCACAAAAACUGUAACUGACGCUGAGGCACGAAAGCGUGGGUAUCAAACAGG
rnacentral:rRNA from 1 species